ACACAACGCAAGCGCACAUGGAGGUCUACAGCGUAUCAGAUCCAUGUGUAAAUCCUCUGAUUCAACCCCCCAGGGGCUGUUUGCAACUGGCGAUAAGUGACACUGCCAAGGCUCCUGCGCGUGUGUCCUGCAUGUUACCUGGGGCGGAGCAGGAAGAGGGUGGGAUAUAAUGAUUGCAACACCUUCAAAAGCGCCUCUGCCAGGCAUGUAACCGUUGCAAAGUCUUUUUCCAUUUAAAAUGUAAAGAAAAUAAAUGCAAUUUAUGAAAUAGUAUGCUGUAUUUGAGAAGUUUACGUUAAAACAUUUCCUCAAUUUGGGUCACCGCUUGUCACUGAAGCGUGAUGUUGGGUCCCGCAGCCAAUCUGGUUGAGGACCACUGAUCAAGAGGGGUCUGAGUACCCGCUAAGUUGGCAACACUAAUCCCUCCUGCGAUAUCUUAUUCUCUGACAGACCAGGUGCAUGUGUGGUGUGUUACGAAGCAGAGUUACGAUACAGACUGCCACCUACUGUACAGACUUGUAACAACAAGAUACAGUCACAGUCCCACUAUAAUGUGUUGAAAAAUCUACUGUAUUUAUGAAAUACAUGAGUGUAUGGGGAGCACUGCUUCCCUCAUUUUUAUGACUGAAGCAAUGCUGUCCAAUGUCUCCAUGGAUGUUGUUUUGCACACGUGUCGGAACCAAGGGAGACAUCAGUUUGCAUGUCAGUUUGUGAAAUGUGUCCACUCUGUCAUAUCAGCUGACCACUGUUGUGCUCCAAUUCCCUGAAUCAGCAGCAGCCUUUUAUGUGGCGUGCUUUCGCAUCAGCACGGAGCACGGCUGAAAAUGUGGACAUCUGAUGGCCUGCUUGUCAGAGCUGGCCUUUGGCAGCAGGGUGCCCUGUGAAGCAUCAAAUCGAAUCAAGGAUGGCAAAUAAGGCAAAUGUUGUUAGCCAUCUCGUUCAAAGAGCACACACACACGCAGUCAAAAGUUCAGGACAGCCACUAAGUCUAAAGAUGUCAGCGUGUGUUUGCAAGGAGCAGCGGCGAGCUGUCUUAUUGUGGCGGCGGGGUGAGCAGGCCAGCCAGGAGUUGUUUAUCUGAGCCGGGCAGAUUACAGCCAGUGCUAUGGGGGCCAGCCAAGAGGAUUGGGAGCUAAGCUGCCUAGACCUGAGACA